CGUGGGUAACCUGCCCAAGAGAUCGGGAUAACACCUGGAAACAGAUGCUAAUACCGGAUAACAACAGAUGAUGCCUAUCAACUGUUUAAAAGAUGGUUCUGCUAUCACUCUUGGAUGGACCUGCGGUGCAUUAGCUAGUUGGUAGGGUAACGGCCUACCAAGGCGAUGAUGCAUAGCCGAGUUGAGAGACUGAUCGACCACAUUGGGACUGAGACACGGCCCAAACUCCUACGGGAGGCAGCAGGG
rnacentral:rRNA from 1 species